CUGUACCAGAGCAGAUGGGGAGGUGUGUCCAGAACCCUUGAAGAAAGCAACAGGUCAAGGGGGUAAAGCCGUGCUGGAAAGGAGGCCCUUCCUCACAGGAGACACAUCAGCCCCACCUCACCUGGAAGAAGGUCCACAGGAAAACAAGGUGAGAGCUCAAGUUCUCAUUUUUGUGCACUUAGCCAAAAGGGUCAAAAAGGAUC
rnacentral:lncRNA from 1 species